UGGGGAAUAUUGCGCAAUGGGCGAAAGCCUGACGCAGCGACGCCGCGUGAGGGAUGAAGGCCUUCGGGUUGUAAACCUCUUUCAGCAGGGACGAAGCGAGAGUGACGGUACCUGCAGAAGAAGCACCGGCCAACUACGUGCCAGCAGCCGCGGUAAUACGUAGGGUGCAAGCGUUGUCCGGAAUUAUUGGGCGUAAAGAGCUCGUAGGCGGUCUGUCGCGUCGGCUGUGAAAACUCGGGGCUCAACCCCGAGCCUGCAGUCGAUACGGGCAGACUAGAGUGCUGUAGGGGAGACUGGAAUUCCUGGUGUAGCGGUGAAAUGCGCAGAUAUCAGGAGGAACACCGGUGGCGAAGGCGGGUCUCUGGGCAGUAACUGACGCUGAGGAGCGAAAGCGUGGGGAGCAAACAGG
rnacentral:rRNA from 1 species